UCCUGAAAAAAAAAAUUUUUUAUUUAUUUUUUAUUUGUUUGUUUGUUUGUUGAUUUAUUUCUUUACUUAAGUGAUUUAUUUGAAUUGCUUUGAACGUUUAAGUCGAGAGGAAAAUUGUGCUGAGAGAAUUGUGGUUUUUAUUAUAUUUAGUAUUUGGUAUUUUUUGAAUAUCAAUUGUCUUGAAAUUAAUUUAUGUGAAAUGAUAUUAGUUGAGAGCUUAUGAUCUGUACAUAUUUUGUAAAAUUCUUUUUGUUGCGUUAUUCUUUCGAAAUACAUUGGAGUGCAUAAUUUUUAAUCUUAUGCUGGAAAUUAAUUUAUAAAAUACAUUAGCAAGUUACAGUUUGGAAUUUUUUACAUAUUUCUCGAGAAUUCGAAAGAAACAUUUAAUUAUACUUAUGUAAUAAAGCAGAAGGUCAAUAAAAAGUUGAAUUGAUCGGUUUUUGUCUUCUAAGAGGCUCAAAAUGUCAAGAGAAUCAUUGAAAAUCUAAUCUUUUAUUCUUGGUUACUUCAUAUCAAGGAAACUUAUUGAAACAAUGGCACUUACAGAAACUACGUUUCGCAUUUGAUUAAUUGAAAUCUUAAAGGGCACUAAAUUGUACACUUGACAACUCCAAGUUAACACGACUACUAGUAGGCUAGUUUGAUCAAGAACAUAUGUAAACUCCGAAAAUAAACUCCAGAAAACUGCUGAAUCUUUACAUUGUCAUGUUACAUGUUCUACGAUCAGCAAGAAACCAACUACGUACAGUUGCAUUAUCACGGCGUAUAAAAUUUCGUUUACAAUUGAAUACUUGACAUUUUUCUUCCGCAUCUCCCGCGAUAUUAAAACUCAUUAUAACACUUAUAAUUAUUUGAACCGUUCCUUAUAUAUUUUUUAAAUAAAUCAUAUUUCGACAUAGAAGUAAAAGGAAUUAGCCUUUAGGUAUGAAGGUAUUCAAACAAAGACCUCACGAAUAUUUUAUUCCUAAUUUGUAGCCCGCUAUGAAAAAAGGCGGCCUCUCAUGCAUGUAGAUCAGACCACGUACUUAUAGUCCUUUGUGUAAUAUAGCACGAAAGCAGCGGAACAAAUGGGACCGUUAAAGCCUAUGAAGUGGCUUCGUACAUAAAGAGACUCAAAGACUGCUUCUUGUGAUACCGUGUAAAACGAAACAUAGGAAGUAGAACCUGCUUGUACAAGGUAAUUUCACCUUGUCCUUGCCUACGAGGGAACACCUAAUUUAAAUAUUUUUUCUAUUGAUCAUUCAUUUUCACCUACGUAUUUGCAAUUGUACAUUGUGACUAAAACUAGAAGAAAAAGAUUAAAAAGAUCUAACGUAUAAAUUCAUAUUUAAUUUUAAUUAUAACUAUUCUAUAAUAUUAUAUAAUAUAUAUUAUAACUAUUCGAAAUUAAUUUCUUAGAAGUUAAGAAUUAAGUAAAUUAUUUCAUUUUUCUCUGUCCUUGACUGCAAAGAAUGAAAAUCUUCUUUCAUUGAAAUAUUUUAGCAUCUUGAGAUGUUACUGAGAAUCUGUAAUGAUUAUUCGCGUCGUUUUAUGAUUAUCUAUGGGUUCGAUUGAUACGUGUAUAAGGACGAUUAUGGUAAAGAGGAUAACAGAGGAGACAAUGGCAUCGAGGCAAGGUGACGUUGUUUCUUCCCACGAACGAGCCGGAGAUAAACUCCUCUGAAAUAGAUCUCUGACUCUUGUAUGCAACACGGUGUACGGGGGAUAUGGUGGAAAGUAGAACCAUCUAAUCUCCUUUCUGGAAAUCCUCCUGAGAUAGUGAGAUACGUUUCGAAAUGUCUGCUUCGAUCUUUAUUCUGACGUUUUACGUUGCGCGGCUGAGAACGAGAUACCACGAGGAAAUGCUAAAAAGAAAAAGAUAAAGAAAUACCUAUGCUUCGUGUUGCAAUAACACUAUAAGAGACCUAUAUUUACACAGUAAUCAUGUAUUCGAAUAGAGAAGAUUAUUUGAAUAUAUCGAGUAGUUUAAAGAAAUCUUUUCUACUUGAAUAAGCUGAUCUUUCGGAGAUUCGAUAUAUUUAUUUAGGUUAAGUACGAAUUUAAAUUCAAGUGUUUCAGAUACUUGGAGAAUUUAAUUUUGCUUAAGUUACCUGAGACGUCUAAUGAAACGAGUUUAUCUCGAGUUCCUGGUAUUUAAAAUUCGUUGAAUGAUGAUAUAAUGUUACUAAAGUUUACGAUUUACUAUGCGAUUCAAAGGAUUAUAUUCUGGUACUAAUAGGGAUAUACUAAGGAAAAAAACAAAUCUUGAAAGGCCACCAUGUGGAAAGACUAAAAAGGGUUGAGAUUGAGAAAAGCGUUCACGAGGCGUCUAAAAUCGGAACAUGAGAGUCAGAUCAUCGGCUCCCGAUCGGCCGACGCGACGUAUUCACGGUGAUUUGUUGGUGAAGAUUCACGAUUGAAGGACUUGGCAAAGUGUUCGCGGGCUCGGCCGCGGUACGUUUCGCACGAGAUUUUCACGUCGCCGCUACGUGUGCGUAUGAUGUCAACGUGGAUAUUAUUCCGACCGGACGAGGACGGGCAUCGGUGAAAAAUAGGAAGAGGAAGAAAGAAGGAAUAAAAAGGGAGAUGGCUCGAAAUCGGUACGAGUCACUGACUGGCGGCAUUCUAUUUACGCGAUCGACUCUAUAUUUAGAAUUUCCGACAUCUUCAUUUUGCUCACCGCGAAAACGUCUCCUCUCUGUCGCGAAUCCGUCGAAGGUCGUCACGACAGUCAACGGAGUUUGGAUUCUUAUUUGGCUGGACGCUGCGUCGGUCUCGCGGCUCUUCAUUCCGCUUAACCAAUAAAAUUUCGCUGGCAACACCACCGUGAAAUUUCAAAAACUUCAUAUCCCCUCUUCCCCAUUCCGAACUCUCGUUGACGCACUUUGAACAACAGUACAGUCUUUUUGAACCGUAUUUGGAUACGAGGAAUGCGACUCGUAAUAAAGGAACUGUUGUACAACUAUUCCGAAGCUUUCACGGCGCGCGUACGCAAUACGUCUUCGAGUAACUUUAAUGAAACUUUCUCGGGAAUCGACGAGAAUUUCAUUCAGUAACGGCAACGCGUCGUAAAUAAAUAAAAUCGUUCUCCACAGCUAUCGGGGAAUGCGCAAACGUUCGCAAGAAUUCAAGAAGCGAUUGUGGUGCGUGAGUGCGUGCGUGCGUGCGUGCGUAACAUGGACGCGUGAGUUCGCAUAAUCAUGGUAGUUCAAUUAGAUUUGUUUCUGUUAUGAAAAAUUUAUAGAAACUGUCCAGACUGAUGAAAUAGCAGUUUUUAGAUAUACAUUUUCUUCUAAUUUAUUUCGCAUCAAUUGUUUAAAACGCAAAGGCUUAAUUUGAUAAUACACAUACAAUUUCUGAUUCUUUAAGCAAAAAUAAAAUUUAGUGGCAGUACAUAUUAUAUUAAACUAAGUGAUGUACAUAUGUAAUAUUUCAUAUACUCGUGGAUGAUUAAAUGUAGAUUAUUUAUUUGUGAUGUAAUAAAUGUACCGCAUCAAUUGUA